ACAAUUUCAAUUGGUUGAAAAUUGAACUACAUUUAUUUUUCUCCUCCCACUUGUUUUGAUCCAAACUGAUAGUUGGAACAAGAUCAAUGCUUGCAGGGUGUUCAACUAUUGAUUCCUGAUCAAUAAUGGAGGAUUUUUUAUUCAAUGUGUCUUUAUUUUAGUUUAGUUUGGAGAUUCAGCAUGGCAGUGGGUUGGAAAGUUAAUUAUCCUCAGUGUGUAGGAAAUGGAUGGAAAAGUGGGAUAACAUAGAACGAGUGUGAUGGGUGAUCGGUGAUCAGUGUGGACUCGGUGGGCCAAAGGGCCUAUAUCCACCCUGCUUCUUGCAAUCAAAAUGUUUUGUUUAAACCUGGCUCCAUGUGGGAGAAAGGAGGACGUUUUGACUGACUAACGCAAGAACUCAGUGGGUGGAAUGAAUGUUAGCACGUUAGGUUUGUACACUAUACUGGCUCACUGGAUAAAACCAUGUCGAGCACGUGAUACCCUAAAGAGCACAUGCUCUGGUGCUUGCUGAGGUUCUACCACCAACCCCCUCCCCAAUUGCCUGAGGAUUUUAAAUGCACUAUAUAACUAUUUACUCAAACAAAGGUGUUCUUCUAGUUUGUGAAAACCAGCUGAAGUUGGCUUUUAUCCAGGAGGUUCAGCGAGAGAGAUGCAACAGUGUGUUUACUCUGCCUGUCUGUUUAUUGCAGGAGAUGGGGAAGUAAUAUCUCUGGUUGAAACCUUGUGUACAUAUAUUUGCAUUGUCGGGAUAUCUCAGGGAGGGUACCGUCUACCCUUGUUAUUACUGAUCUCUUUAUAACUCCACAGGUCUUCCAUAACAUAUUGAUUUUCUUCCUCUGCCUCUGUGCCUUUUUCUGUGCAAAAGAGUCCUCACCACCCAGUGAUGACUCCUUUUUCUGUCUUCACUGGUCCCCUUCCUCUUGGACCUCCCCGGAUGGCCUUUGGCCCUCUUUAGACCUUUACAUAGCCUGACCCGUUGAGUUACUCCAGCAUUUUGUGUCUAUCUUUAUAACUUAUUUUAGUUAUAGUGGACGGAGUGUCCCCACAGUAAUCAGACACCACUGUCUCUGUAGGAACACAGGCUUCCAGUUACAGUGUGAGAUGCCAUGACAUUGACAAGCAAUUGCUUCAACUAGCCUUUUGUAUUUUUACCUUGCAGUAACUAAAAUAUAUUUUUAGCUGUUAAAAAGAACUUUGUAUUUGAAAACAACUUGCUGUUUCACAGAGUGACCACUAGGUGGUUAAAGCAAAUCCCUUACUUAGUUAUAGAGGACAAUCUGCAAUAACGGACACCAUUCUCCUCCCCUGUGGUCCGCUAUAAUGAGGGUUGUCUGUACGAUGUACAAGGUUUUACCAUUUCACAACUGAAUGCUUUAUUUCCUUUCCUUCAUUUUGUGGAACAGUGGGAAAUAUAUGCUGAUCGACCUUGGAUGACAUCCAUCAGCCCUGUUUUCUGGAGUCCCCUUCUUCACUGCCCCCAUGCCCCUCCACCUAAUCCACCCUCUGCCUUUACACUCUUCUUCAUUCCUUAUCUGACACCUUUGUCUUCUUUUCAUCUCUUGCCUUUGUCACUUACACCAUCCAGCUACCAAACAAACUUCCCUCACCUGGGUAGCUUACAACCUAAUGGUUUACUCCUGCCCCCAACUCUCAGUUUCCUCCUCCCUAUGUCUGACAAUCAAUCUGAAGAAGGGUCCCGACUUACACCGUGGUCCCGACCCAAAGUCCAUGUUCUCCAAAGAUGCUGUCUGUCCCGCUGAGUUACUCCAACACUUUAUGUUCUACUCCCUCUGGAGUACUUUAUUUGACUGAGGUUUGCGGGGUCAUUUAAUAGUUCAUGGCAUUUUAUUUGUCACAAUGCAAUAUGGUAAUCUUUUCUUACUUAAACUGUAUGCAGAUAUCGUGAAAGGUUGUGGAAUAUCAAUAAAAUUGCAUUUAUCUGCUCAU